CACGUCACAGCUAAGCACACGGCACACACACAAACGAAAGGAAAUUUUUCUACAGAAACAACAUCGGGAUCGCUGUAGGCACUGUGACAGUUUGUGACAAACUUAUUUGAAUGCCUGGAUCCUGGGGUCUUCUGUGAGGUGGGGUGUCACCUGCUGUUGUGACGAUUCAAGGAAGCGGAGUGAGGCAUGGAGCACCUGCCAGUCUCGGAGAUGAGACAACUGAGCCCUAGGGUGCACCGGAACCCAGUGGCCCUCACUGGCCCUGCCCACCGCAGGCCCAGAGACAAGAUCUCGCUAUGUUGCCUAGGCUGGUCUCGAAC